AUUGAACGCUGGCGGCAGGCCUAACACAUGCAAGUCGAGCGGAUGAGGGGUGCUUGCACUCUGAUUCAGCGGCGGACGGGUGAGUAAUGCCUAGGAAUCUGCCCGAUAGUGGGGGACAACGUUUCGAAAGGAACGCUAAUACCGCAUACGUCCUACGGGAGAAAGUGGGGGAUCUUCGGACCUCACGCUAUCGGAUGAGCCUAGGUCGAAUUAGCUAGUUGGUGAGGUAAUGGCUCACCAAGGCUACGAUCCGUAACUGGUCUGAGAGGAUGAUCAGUCACACUGGAACUGAGACACGGUCCAGACUCCUACGGGAGGCAGCAGUGGGGAAUAUUGGACAAUGGGCGAAAGCCUGAUCCAGCCAUGCCGCGUGUGUGAAGAAGGUCUUCGGAUUGUAAAGCACUUUAAGUUGGGAGGAAGGGCUGUAGGCUAAUAUCCUGCAGUUUUGACGUUACCAACAGAAUAAGCACCGGCUAACUUCGUGCCAGCCGCCGCGGUAAGAC
rnacentral:rRNA from 1 species